GUCACAGGGGGCGCGGCCCCGGCGGUGGAGCACGGGCGGAAAGGCUGUGAGCUGGCCCUGGGCGGAUUUUCCGCGGAGCCGUUUACGCAAGCUAAGCGAGCAGUUCAGACGUGGCAUCUGUCAGCUGAAGGGCAGGUGGUCUGCCGGCCCGUGUGGCCUGGGCCUGCCGGCGUGCCCCGUCUCCGGGCAGGGGCCUGUCCUGAGCAGGCCUGCCUCUGGCGGACUCGUGCUCUUAAGCUCCUGCUACAUCUACUCAGCGAUAAGUCAUCACAUCGUAAGAACCUACUCAGUUACUGCCGGAUGACUGAGGUGAGGCCGUGGGCUCCAGAUGCUGACCGACGCCCGGGACGGGCAGAAAUACAUAUGCGAGCCAGCGUGGACCACUUCCUCGGUGCUUCUGGAAGCCUGGGCGAGAUGAGGACACCCCAGGAACUGCCCAUCUGCCUGUGAAACAAGCUUCACGGGGGGCACCACCUGAACUGAAUCCUGAAAGGCGCCCCAGGAGGGAAGCUCAGAGUCUGGGGAGAGCGGGCCUCACCACAAGGUGGGAAAGCACUGCUCUGAGGCCAGGGUCCCUGGCACAGUGGCUGGCAGCGUGGCCAGGCCCAGUCACGGCGGGCUCCAUGUGCCAGGCCAGGUGCUUCUUCUGGAUGUGUGGGGAGACGUGGCACGGGACGGGCCGCUGUAGGAAGCCCUCUGGCAGCACGUGAGGCGGCCGCCCCACGUGUGCUUUGGUCUCGGCCGGCUGUGGCCAGGCCUUCCUCCACUGCUGCUCUCCUGCAGAGACUGUGGUGCGUGUCACACCCGGUCACUGGCCUGGCGAGACACCAGCGACCACACUGGCUCCACAGUCACAGCGCUCGCCCGGGACACAGGCUUUCUCUGCUCCGACUCUAACCUGAGGCUGAAACCGCUUCGGAACAGGCUGCAGCAAGGCUCUCUGUCCCCAGCGCUGCCCCCAGCUGUGGCUCCCAACUCCAUCCUGGCUGCGGGAAGGGAGGACGCAGGUGAACAGGGGUACUGAGGGUGGAACAAAUUUUUAAAAAGAGCUGUUUGGUAAUGACUGGCUUAAGAGACAAAACAAUCUUUGGCCAUCAAGCACCACACAUCUCCUGGGAACGAUGCGUCGUGCGGAAGGUGAGGGCUGACACCAAGGCAAUGAGGAUCCAGCACCAAAAAAUACAACACAGACGAGUGAGUCCUGCCAGGCGGACAGGAGACCCAACAGGCCUCACUCGGGUACCAGUGCAGGGGGAGCAUCCCUGGAUGUGACCUGUGGGGGGCCACGCGAGGUGCCGGCCCACGCGCAGCCAGUGCUAACCCUCUUUCCGGGCCCCCGGCCCCGGCCCAGCAUUUGUCCUGGACUGCAGUGCACAGGGCCUGUGCGUAGUCUCCCCUCCAGCGCCGGGAACUCUUGGGACGUGGAUUAUUUCUUCCAACUGGCCAUAAGUUAAAAACCAAACCAAACCAAACCAAAAGGAACAGUGAAUUUACCGGGAGGGCUCUGGUCCAGUGCAUUUGGUAAUGAAAGUGAAUGAGACCUAAGAUGGAUAUUUAAAAAGAGAUUAUAAUUCAGUUUAUACAGCUUGACAUGAAUAAACAGACAUUCUUAACAAUGC
ensembl:lncRNA